GCUGGGCGUGGUGGUGAGUGCCUGUGGUCCCAGCCACUCCGGAGGCUGAGGCUGGAGGAUCAUUUGAGCUCAGGAGUUCUGGGCUGCAGUGCGCUAUGCUGAUCGAGUGUCUGCAUUAAGUUCGGCAUCAGUAUGGUGACGUCUUGGGAGCAGGGGGCCACAAGGUUGCCUAAGGAGGGGUGAACUGGCCCAGGUUGGAAAUGGAGCAGGUCAGAACUCCCAUACUGAUCAAUUAAUGGGGAAAUGAAAUUGGUAUUUCCAGUGUACGUGAAUGAAUGUGAUAAAACUUUAU
rnacentral:SRP_RNA from 1 species